rnacentral:rRNA from 1 species
CGAGCGAGUCUGCCUUGAAGAUCGGAGUGCUUGCACUCUGUGAAACAAGAUACAGGCUAGCGGCGGACGGGUGAGUAACACGUGGGUAACCUGCCCAAGAGAUCGGGAUAACACCUGGAAACAGAUGCUAAUACCGGAUAACAACAGAUGAUGCCUAUCAACUGUUUAAAAGAUGGUUCUGCUAUCACUCUUGGAUGGACCUGCGGUGCAUUAGCUAGUUGGUAGGGUAACGGCCUACCAAGGCGAUGAUGCAUAGCCGAGUUGAGAGACUGAUCGGCCACAUUGGGACUGAGACACGGCCCAAACUCCUACGGGAGGCAGCAGUAGGGAAUCUUCCACAAUGGACGCAAGUCUGAUGGAGCAACGCCGCGUGAGUGAAGAAGGGUUUCGGCUCGUAAAGCUCUGUUGUUGGUGAAGAAGGACAGGGGUAGUAACUGACCUUUGUUUGACGGUAAUCAAUUAGAAAGUCACGGCUAACUACGUGCCAGCAGCCGCGGUAAUACGUAGGUGGCAAGCGUUGUCCGGAUUUAUUGGGCGUAAAGCGAGUGCAGGCGGCUCGAUAAGUCUGAUGUGAAAGCCUUCGGCUCAACCGGAGAAUUGCAUCAGAAACUGUCGAGCUUGAGUACAGAAGAGGAGAGUGGAACUCCAUGUGUAGCGGUGAAAUGCGUAGAUAUAUGGAAGAACACCGGUGGCGAAGGCGGCUCUCUGGUCUGUUACUGACGCUGAGGCUCGAAAGCAUGGGUAGCGAACAGGAUUAGAUACCCUGGUAGUCCAUGCCGUANACGAUGAGUGCUAAGUGUUGGGAGGUUUCCGCCUCUCAGUGCUGCAGCUAACGCAUUAAGCACUCCGCCUGGGGAGUACGACCGCAAGGU